CCUACUGGAGGCAGCAGUAGGGAAUAUUGGGCAAUGGGCGAGAGCCUGACCCAGCCAUGCCGCGUGCAGGAUGAAGGCCUUCUGGGUUGUAAACUGCUUUUCUCAGGGAAGAAAAAGAGGAUGCGUCCUAAACUGACGGUACCUGAGGAAUAAGCACCGGCUAACUCCGUGCCAGCAGCCGCGGUAAUACGGAGGGUGCAAGCGUUGUCCGGAUUUAUUGGGUUUAAAGGGUGCGUAGGCGGCCCGUUAAGUCCGGGGUGAAAGCCCACAGCUCAACUGUGGAACUGCCCUGGAUACUGGCGGGCUUGAGUCCAGACGAGGUUGGCGGAAUGGAAGGUGUAGCGGUGAAAUGUAUAGAUACCUUCCAGAACCCCGAUUGCGUAGGCAGCUGACUAGGCUGGUACUGACGCUGAGGCACGAAAGCGUGGGGAGCGAACAGGAUUAGAUACCCUGGUAGUCCACGCCGUAAACGAUGGAUACUCGCUGGUGGCGAUAGACAGUCACUGGCUUAGCGAAGCGGUAAGAUCCCGACCUGGGGAGUACGCUCGCAAGAGUGAAACUUCAAAGGAAUUGACGG
rnacentral:rRNA from 1 species